UAACACGUAAACAACCUGCCUUCAGGAUGGGGACAACAGACGGAAACGACUGCUAAUACCGAAUAAGUUCCAAGAGCCGCAUGGCCCAUGGAAGAAAAGGUGGCCUCUACCUGUAAGCUAUCGCCUGAAGAGGGGUUUGCGUCUGAUUAGCUGUUUGGAGGGGUAACGGCCCACCAAGGCGACGAUCAGUAGCCGGUCUGAGAGGGUGAUCGGCCACAUUGGGACUGAGACACGGCCCAA
rnacentral:rRNA from 1 species